rnacentral:rRNA from 1 species
GGGGGACACCCGGGGAACUCGGGCUAUACCGCAUACGCCCUACGUGGGUGAAAGCUGGGGGAUCUUCUGUGACCUCGUGCUAUUGGAUGAGCCCUGCGUCGGAUUAGCUUGUUGGUGAGUGUAAGUGGCUCACCAAGGCGACGAUCCUGUAGCUGGUCUGAGAGGACGAUCAGCCACACUGGGACUGAGACACGGCCAGACUCCUACGGGAGUGCAGCAGUGGUGGAAUAUUGGACAAUGGGCGAAAGCCUGAUCCAGCAAUGCCGCGUGUGUGAAGAAGGCCUUCGGGUUGUAAAGCACUUUCAGUGGGGAAGAAAAGCAGGGGGCCAAUACCUCUCUGUGCUGACGUUACCCACAGAAGAAGCACCGGCUAACUCCGUGCCAGCAGCCGCGGUAAUACGGAGGGUGCGAGCGUUAAUCAGAAUUACUGGGCGUAAAGGGCGAGUAGGUGGUUCGGUCAGUCGGAUGUGAAAUCCCCGGGCUCAACUUGGGAAUUGCAUUCGAUACUGCCGAGCUUGAGUGUGGUAGAGGGAAGCGGAAUUCCGGGUGUAGCGGUGAAAUGCGUAGAUAUCCGGAGGAACACCAGUGGCGAAGGCGGCUUCCUGGACCAACACUGACACUGAGUCGCGAAAGCGUGGGGAGCAAACAGGAUUAGAUACCCUGGUAGUCCACGCCCUAAACGAUGAGAACUAGCCGUUGGGGGUAUUAGAAACCUUUAGUGGCGCAGCUAACGCGAUAAGUUCUCCGCCUGGGGAGUACGGCCGCAAGGUUAAAACUCAAAGGAAUUGACGGGGGCCCGCACAAGCGGUGGAGUAUGUGGUUUAAUUCGAUGCAACGCGAAGAACCUUACCUGCCCUUGACAUGCUCGGAACGAGGCAGAGAUGCUUCGGUGCCUUCGGGAGCCGAGACACAGGUGCUGCAUGGCGUCGUCAGCUCGUGUCGUGAGAUGUUGGGUUAAGUCCCGUAACGAGCGCAACCCUUGUCCUUAGUUGCCAGCGAUUCGGUCGGGAACUCUAAGGAGACUGCCGGUGACAAACCGGAGGAAGGUGGGGAUGACGUCAAGUCCUCAUGGCCCUUAUGGGCAGGGCUACACACGUACUACAAUGGCCGGUACAGAGGGUCGCCAACCCGCAAGGGGGAGCCAAUCCCACAAAACCGGUCGUAGUCCGGAUCGGAGUCUGCAACUCGACUCCGUGAAGUCGGAAUCGCUAGUAAUCGCGGAUCAGAACGCCGCGGUGAAUACGUUCCCGGGCCUUGUACACACCGCCCGUCACACCAUGGGAGUGGGCUGCAAAAGAAGUAGGUAGCUUAACUUCGGGAGGGCGCUUACCACUU